CAGGCUCCAAUAUGUGCUUCAAUUUGGUCCAUGCCCUCGGAAGGAGCAAUGGGAUUUUAUGCGUAUUCCAUUAUGUCAUUCUGUCGGAACACCAUCUUCUGCAGCUCUUUGGUCAUCCUCAAUGGCUCACUGUUAGAUGGCGAUCACAUACAUAUGUAAACAAGGUUAAGGAGGAACUAGAGAAGAGAGGCUGCCAAUUAAGUACGGGUUUGUGAAGUAAAUUUUGUAUCAACGAAUGAAGAAGGUCUGGUUUGGUUUUUAGCAUUUUGAAAUCCCUCUACUUUCUCCAUGUCUGCUUAUGCGUUUGUGUGAGAGUUUAAUUUCCUGUCCUUAUUUUCUUUUAUCAUAUGGUAUAUAGGCAUCAAACUGUUGGAAAAAAAUAGGCAUACAGUUCAUUUAGUGUUUACCUAAGAAAAACCGUCUAUCAGCUUCAUUUCACAUAAGUUAGAUAAUUAAAAAAGAUUCUAUUUACAUCUUAAAGUCUUUUGUACUUAAGGUCCUUUAGUUUCAUUGGAUGAAAACUUGACAGUGUUCAACACACACGCGAUGAUAAAAGGUGUUCUUUACAGCCAUAUGGCUGAAUACAAACCCAAAAAACCUAAUAGGAGGUACAGGUUUGCUAUAAAUAAUUUACGCUCUCUUUUAACAAUAGUUAGUCUAUAGUGAUUUAACCGUUGUAUGAUUAGAAUUUCUAUUGCUUUGCUUAAAGACGAGGACAAUUCUCUAUGGAGGAAAGUCAAGAAAACAAGGAGUCUAUGGUAUGAAAUUCUGAAUUCUUAAAACUGCAACAGAGAGGAGUGGAAUUACAGCCAGUGGCAUAGCAGUCAGUGUGCUUAUUGUUCCCAAUGAACAGAUAACCGACCUAUUGUAUACCAAUGGAGAAUGGAAGGAUGGCUUUACAACAUUUAGGCUUGGUUGACAAGAAAUAUUCUGUGAAAUAUCAUUGUAAGUCUCUGCUUAUUGUCACUUUAAGUUGGUGAAUAAGUUGAGGUUGAUUGAUCGUUUCACUAAUCUCCCUAAAGUUAAGCAGACUAAUAUCGUAGAAAGUCCAUAUGACUUUGAUAUUGCGGAUUAUCUCACUAAUGUGCCUCCUUUCCGAGGUUCCUCCUAGGACCGCGAUUUCAACAUUUUUUUUGAUAAAACCCUACCCCGACACUUCUAUCUUUUUUCGAUGUCAUCAUACUUCUAUGGUCUAUAAUAUGAGCUUACAGACAAAAGACUAUAUGAUCUAGAAAUUCUUCAGUUGCUUCAUGAUUUCUCAAAUGGUUAUGAUCUGACAUACAAAUGUUUGGAUUAUUGGUUGUUAAUACCUUAACGAAAAACAUGAGUCUUAUUUCAAUUUUUCAUCCCGUGAUUAUCAAUGAAAGAGAAGGUCCCUAAAAUUCGAUUUGGCCUAUUCAAUAACUUUGUUCUAUUUCCGUAAAAUUCCUAUUUGUCUGAGAUUAGCACUACUGAUCUAAUCCAGUAGCCUGGAAUUUUUAUGCUCUUCUAACAUCAAAAUAUGGAGAAGUAAAUGAAGAUGUUCCUCCUGCUAAUAUUGUUCAUACAACACCAACAAAUGGGUACAACAAGAGUCAUUUGGAUACACAUCAUUUUAUUGAGCCGAGGGUCUUUCGGAAACAGCCGUCCUACCUUGAUAGGA